rnacentral:lncRNA from 1 species
UUUCAAGCGUAGUAUUUUUGGACUGGAUCUGCAUUCACAAGUGAUGAAAUAUCUUCACCAUCUAUAGUUGCAAGGAUUAAGGCUCCUCAAAAGAAGAGUUUUCUUACAACAUAUGAGCCCUCGUAAUUCGAAGUCCAUUUUCCCUUUGGAGUGUGUGUGGGGAGAAUCUUCUUCAAUACAAGGUCUCUGUAAGACCCCAAUUUUGACCCUAAGAUCCCUCAUGCUAUCUCAUCAUUUACAUUGGCUUUGGGAU